ACGGUGAGGCCCCAACAAGCUGCCUGGAGUCCUGAUGCUGCACAUCACAGCAGAGUGGAUACUUUCCUGUCCGGAGGAAGGGCUUGCAAAAGAGCCAAUGGAAAAGUAAUAGAGCUGAAAAUGUGGUUUUAAUUAUGGCGCUAAUGAAAACUGAAAAUCCAGACAGACACUUGACGAACUCUGCUGCGCGUUAUAUUACAUUUGUGCUAACUACAAAGUACCCAGCUGGAUGUAACAUUAUCCCCUCCCGAGCAUCCGCCUGACUGAAGCUGUAUAAUUGAUGUGGACUUUGGCAGGAGGUCAGCUUAAAGGUUCCCAAGCUGCAUGUGUUCCCUGGACUGUGGCCUCUCCAUCUUCAACGCCAGUGCAAGGACGUCCUCACGUCACUUUUUCUCUGAUCUCUGCAUUUGUGCCACAUUGUCUCUGAGUUUGAUACUUCUGCCUCUCAUCUGUAAAAACCUUUGUGGUUUUGUUGAGCCCACCCAGACAGCCUUAUCAGGCUUAGUUUAAUAAUUAAUAAAUGAU